AGUUGCUAACGCGUGAAGGCGAGCACUCUAGACGAACCUGCCGUUGACAAACGGAGGAAGGUGGGGAUGACGUCAAAUCAUCAUGCCCCUUAUGUUCUGGGCUACACACGUGCUACAAUGGCCGGUACAGACGGACGCAAAGCCGCGAGGUGGAGCAAAUCCUAAAAAGCCGGUCUCAGUUCGGAUUGCAGGCUGCAAUUCGCCUGCAUGAAGUCGGAAUCGCUAGUAAUCGCAGGUCAGCAUACUGCGGUGAAUACGUUCCCGGGCCUU
rnacentral:rRNA from 1 species